rnacentral:rRNA from 1 species
UAGGGAAUAUUGGGCAAUGGUCGGAAGACUGACCCAGCCACGCCGCGUGCAGGAGGAAGGCCCUCUGGGUUGUAAACUGCUUUAGCAGGGGAAGAAAAUACUCAUGCGUGAGGAAUUGCCGGUACCCUGAGAAUAAGCACCGGCUAACUACGUGCCAGCAGCCGCGGUAAUACGUAGGGUGCAAGCGUUGUCCGGAUUUAUUGGGUUUAAAGGGUGCGUAGGCGGCCUGUUAAGUCAGUGUUUAAAUUUUGCAGCUUAACUGUAGGUAUGGCAUUGAUACUGAUGGGCUUGAAUAUUUUAGAGGUAGCUGGAAUUUAUGGUGUAGCGGUGAAAUGCAUAGAUACCAUAAGGAACACCGAUAGCGGAGGCAUGUUACCAUGAGAUGAUUGACGCUGAGGCA